GAGGCGAACCGGGGGAACUGAAACAUCUAAGUACCCCGAGGAAAAGAAAUCAACCGAGAUUCCGAAAGUAGCGGCGAGCGAAAUUGGACUAGCCCUUAAGCUUUACACGCGUUAGACGAACGGUCUGGAAAGUCCGACGAUACAGGGUGAUAGUCCCGUAGUUGACGACGUGUGUUCAGUGAAAUCGAGUAGGGCGGGACACGUGAUAUCCUGUCUGAAUAUGGGGGG
rnacentral:rRNA from 1 species